rnacentral:rRNA from 1 species
GGGGGAGGACGUUACCCAAAGAAUAAGCACAGUCUAACUCCGUGCCAGCAGCCGCGGUAAUACGGGGGGUGCAAGCGUUAAUCGGAAUUACUGGGAGUAAAGGGUCUGUAGGUGGUUUGUUAAGUCAGAUGUGAAAGACCAGGGCUCAACCUUGGAACUGCAUUUGAUACUGGCACACUAGAGUACUGUAGAGGAAUGGGGAAUUUCUGGUGUAGCGGUGAAAUGCGUAGAGA